rnacentral:rRNA from 1 species
GAAUUCACUAGUGAUUCAGGCCUAACACAUGCAAGUCGAGCGGUAGAGAGAAGCUUGCUUCUCUUGAGAGAGGCGGACGGGUGAGUAAUGCCUAGGAAUCUGCCUGGUAGUGGGGGAUAACGUUCGGAAACGGACGCUAAUACCGCAUACGUCCUACGGGAGAAAGCAGGGGACCUUCGGGCCUUGCGCUAUCAGAUGAGCCUAGGUCGGAUUAGCUAGUUGGUGAGGUAAUGGCUCACCAAGGCGACGAUCCGUAACUGGUCUGAGAGGAUGAUCAGUCACACUGGAACUGAGACACGGUCCAGACUCCUACGGGAGGCAGCAGUGGGGAAUAUUGGACAAUGGGCGAAAGCCUGAUCCUUAAGAGGCGCGUGUGUGAAGAAGGCCUUCGGA